AGUGAACGCUGGCGGUAGGCCUAACACAUGCAAGUCGAACGGCAGCACAGGAGAGCUUGCUCUCUGGGUGGCGAGUGGCGGACGGGUGAGGAAUGCAUCGGAAUCUACCUUUUCGUGGGGGAUAACGUAGGGAAACUUACGCUAAUACCGCAUACGACCUACGGGUGAAAGUGGGGGACCGCAAGGCCUCACGCGAUUAGAUGAGCCGAUGUCCGAUUAGCUAGUUGGCGGGGUAAUGGCCCACCAAGGCGACGAUCGGUAGCUGGUCUGAGAGGAUGAUCAGCCACACUGGAACUGAGACACGGUCCAGACUCCUACGGGAGGCAGCAGUGGGGAAUAUUGGACAAUGGGCGCAAGCCUGAUCCAGCCAUACCGCGUGGGUGAAGAAGGCCUUCGGGUUGUAAAGCCCUUUUGUUGGGAAAGAAAUCCUGUCGAUUAAUACUCGGUGGGGAUGACGGUACCCAAAGAAUAAGCACCGGCUAACUUCGUG
rnacentral:rRNA from 1 species